GUAAUUUGUUUAAUUUGUUGUUUAAAAUUUUGGAGUUAAGGUCCCCUUUAAAUAUAGUUUUAAAAAAAAUUUGAUUUUUGUUUUAAAAUCUGGCUUUAAAUUUAUAACGCAUGUAAAUUUUUGUUAGGUUAAAUAUCCUUAAUGGUUAAUUUUUAUUUUCAGUGUUAAGGUUUUUUAAUUAAAUUUUUUAAUUUAAGUUAUAUUUUUUAGAACCAAAAAAUGUUGUGCCAGCAUUUGCGGUUAUUCCUCAGGUUCAAGUUAAUUUUCUUAGAAUUUAGUCUUAUUUAGUUUUAAUAUUUUGUAUUUAGGUGAAAUUUAUAUAAUAAAUUUUUUUUUCUAUGUAAAUUUGAAUUUAAACCAGGAUUAGAUACCCUGUUAUUCUUAAUUAGUAAUUUUUUUCUAAGGUAGUAUAUUUUUUAUAAUUGAAAUUUAAUAGAUCUGGCGGUUUUUAAAUCUUUUUAGAGGAACCUGUAAUUUAAAUGAUAUUCCACGAUUUUUUGUUCCUUUUUUUUCUUGUAUAUCUCUGUCGUUGAGUGUAACGAAAGUUUAUUUUCUUUUUCUUUUUUAAGAUUUAUGUUAGGUCAAGAUGCAGUUAUAAGAAGGUUAUUAUGGGUUACAUUAAUUUUUGUUUUUUGAUUUUUUAAUUUGAUUAAAUCUGAAUUUGGAUUUAAUAGUAAUUUUUUUUAAUAAAAUUUUUGAAUUUUGCUCUUAAUUAUGUACAUAUCGCCCGUCACUCUCAUAAAUUGAGAUAAGUCGUAACAAAGUAGAUGUACUGGAAAGUGUAUCUAGAAU
rnacentral:ncRNA from 1 species